AUGUAUAUGUAUAUAUGAGUGAGAGCCUCAAAAGUGAAUGAUGUUUAUAUAUAUGUAAGUUUCUCAAAUUAUAUUCAGAGGAAUAGCAUUUCUGGAAGUUGUUAUGAAGUAUUGGAAAAGAGUGGUUUCUGCAUCAAACAAAUAUUGGAAGUACUAUAUUCUAUCUUCCUGUUGAAGAUUUAUGAAGCACAUUAGUGUAGUCUCAGAUGUUCCCACAGAAAAUAAGUUUGUUUAAUUUUGUUUAUCCAAUGAUUCUGUUUAUUUUGGAUGUAGAACUGAUCAUGUAACACACUGUGAAGGGGCAUUUUGUAGUAUAUCCAUUUUGGAAAUGUUGCAUUAGUUUCUCAUUUAAGGAUCCAGUGGGGAUAAAGUUAACUCCUGACAUUUCUCCCUUUCUUCAGCAGCUCUUCCCUGUUUAGAAUGAAAUAUUGCUUUAGUUGUGGCUGUGCUUAUAUUUGUCAGAGGGAGAAUAAAAUGACUUGCAAGUGAUUUAAAAAGUGAUGCUUACACUUAAAAUUUUUUGUUUUUCCAAUUAGCAUUGAAUAAUAAUGAAAUUCAGGAAGAGUUUUGUCUCUUAUUCAUAUGUUCUUAUGUUUAUUUUUUUCUUUACAUCAUCUCUAUGAGUGGAUUGGAGCAAUUUGGGGAAGCUGAGAGACAAGCAGCCUAGGAAGAGAGAAGAAAAACCCAUACCACAGGAUGUGAUACAAAAGAGAACCAGGCAGAGCACCAGUAGGAGUACAACAAUUCAUGUGGAAUCUGUGAACAUCUUGAACUUCAAACACUAUCUCUACAUCUGCCUCUGGAGAUGCAGCUGGUGACGAUGAGAUGUAAAAUGCACCAGGGUCACUGUCUUGAAUUGUUACGCUGACCACAUGCUUUUUAGACACCUGAACAAGACACUGAAAGAGGGCCCACCUAAAGAUGGAUAUUCUGCUGAUCUUAAAGGUGUUCAACAGUGGUUUUGGGCUGUUCAGCUCUACCAAGAAGUGUCAGAACAGA